GACGAACGCUGGCGGCGUGCUUAACUCAUGCAAGUCGAACGGAAAGGCCCUGCUUUUGUGGGGUGCUCGAGUGGCGAACGGGUGAGUAACACGUGAGUAACCUGCCCUUGACUUUGGGAUAACUUCAGGAAACUGGGGCUAAUACCGGAUAGGAGCUCCUGCUGCAUGGUGGGGGUUGGAAAGUUUCGGCGGUUGGGGAUGGACUCGCGGCUUAUCAGCUUGUUGGUGGGGUAGUGGCUUACCAAGGCUUUGACGGGUAGCCGGCCUGAGAGGGUGACCGGCCACAUUGCGACUGCGAUACGGCCCAGAAUCCUACGGGAGGCAGCAGUGGGGAAUAUUGCACAAUGGGCGGAAGCCUGAUGCAGCAACGCCGCGUGCGGGAUGACGGCCUUCGGGUUGUAAACCGCUUUCGCCUGUGCCGAAGCGUGAGUGACGGUAAUGGGUAAAGAAGCACCGGCUAACUACGUG
rnacentral:rRNA from 1 species